rnacentral:rRNA from 1 species
UACGGGAGGCAGCAGUGGGGAAUAUUGCACAAUGGGCGAAAGCCUGAUGCAGCUAUGCCGCGUGUAUGAAGAAGGCCUUAGGGUUGUAAAGUACUUUCAUCGGGGAGGAAAAAACAAAACUAAUAAUUUUAUUUCUUGACGUUACCCGAAAAAGAAGCACCGGCUAACUCCGUGCCAGCAGCCGCGGUAAUACGGAGGGUGCUAGCGUUAAUCAGAAUUACUGGGCGUAAAGAGCACGUAGGUGGUUUUUUUAAGUCAGAUGUGAAAUCCCUGGGCUUAACCUGGAACUGCAUUUUGAAACUGAAAUACUAGAGUAUCGUAGAGGGAGGUAGAAUUCUAGGUGUAGCGGUGAAAUGCGUAGAUAUCUGGAGGAAUACCUGUGGCGAAAGCGGCCUCCUAAACGAAUACUGACACUGAGGUGCGAAAGCGUGGGAAGCAAACAGGGAUUAGAUACC